UGUAUGUGACAUCUGUUUGCUAUUUUUACAAAUUUUACAACAACCCAGUGUCUGGUACAAAUCUUGUACACGUUAUUUCUCUCAAUUCCCUUUGUCUGAUCAAGUUGACGUUACUUCAAAAAAGAAGAUAAUUACGCCCUACGCAUUGCAUGUGUCAAUCAAGCCAUGCAUGUUAAUCAAGUCGUUGAAUUUCCUGGCUGAUUCAAGCAACUCAUCCCAUUCUCUAAUGACACUAGGGAAGAGGAAGCACUUGUACGAAUUCGUUCUAGCGUAUGGAAUAAGAAAUGUGCCAGUAUCCUGAAGUGUCUCAAAUUUUAGUGAUUGUACUAAUGAUGUUACUCUAAUCAAAUUAGAAUAUUCAUAUGUUUUAAA